AACGAACGCUGGCGGCAGGCCUAACACAUGCAAGUCGAACGCCCUAGCAAUAGGGAGUGGCAGACGGGUGAGUAACGCGUGGGAACGUGCCCUUCAGUUCGGGAUAAGCCGAGGAAACUUAGUCUAAUACCGGAUACGUGCGAGAGCAGAAAGAUUUAUCGCUGAAGGAUCGGCCCGCGUCCGAUUAGCUAGUUGGUGAGGUAACGGCUCACCAAGGCGACGAUCGGUAGCUGGUCUGAGAGGAUGAUCAGCCACACUGGGACUGAGACACGGCCCAGACUCCUACGGGAGGCAGCAGUGGGGAAUAUUGGACAAUGGGCGCAAGCCUGAUCCAGCCAUGCCGCGUGAGUGAUGAAGGCCCUAGGGUUGUAAAGCUCUUUCGCCAGGGACGAUAAUGACGGUACCUGGAUAAGAAGCCCCGGCUAACUUCGUGCCAGCCGCCGCCGUAA
rnacentral:rRNA from 1 species